AGCCGUCCUGUCGUCUCGAGUGGGAUGAACGGGAGAGUAAUAGCAUCGGAACUGUUGCCCAUGUGCGUGGGGGGAUAACGUAGCGAAAGCUACGCUAAUACCGCAUACGCCCUGAGGGGGAAAGCGGGGGAUUCUUCGGAACCUCGCGCGAUUGGAGCGGCCGAUGUCGGAUUAGCUAGUAGGUGAGGUAAAGGCUCACCUAGGCGACGAUCCGUAGCGGGUCUGAGAGGAUGAUCCGCCACACUGGGACUGAGACACGGCCCAGACUCCUACGGGAGGCAGCAGUGGGGAAUUUUGGACAAUGGGGGCAACCCUGAUCCAGCCAUGCCGCGUGAGUGAAGAAGGCCUUCGGGUUGUAAUGUGUGGUGGGGCGGGAAGAAAUCGGCGACUCUAACAUAGUCGCUGGAUGACGGUACCGGACUAAGAAGCACCGGCUAACUACGUGCCAGCAGCCGCGGUAAUACGUAGGGUGCGAGCGUUAAUCGGAAUUACUGGGCGUAAAGCGUGCGCAGGCGGUUUUGUAAGACAGAUGUGAAAUCCCCGGGCUUAACCUGGGAACUGCGUUUGUGACUGCAAGGCUAGAGUACGGCAGAGGGGGGUGGAAUUCCACGUGUAGCAGUGAAAUGCGUAGAGAUGUGGAGGAACACCGAUGGCGAAGGCCGCCCCCCUGGGCCUGUACUGACGCUCAUGCCCGAAAGCGUGGGGAGCAAACAGGAUUAGAUACCCGG
rnacentral:rRNA from 1 species